CUUAAUUCACCAAAUACAAGAGCCAUAUAUGUAGGCUAACAAACAAAAAAUAAUAAGCUAAAAAACUGGAAGUAUAAUGCCAUGUUUAAACCCACUAAAUAAACUCAUUAACUUCUAAAUUCAUUUGAACUAUGGACAAACUCAGGAAGAACAACGGAAGAAAUCGAAAGGAAAGAAAAAUAAUAAAUAAACAAAAAAAUAAAUGAGGGCAGCUGGUCUCGGACCCAUGAUCUAAGAGGAGCCUCACUACUUUAUUAGUCACUCCCUUACCAAUGUGUCAGACUUACAUAUUUGGUUAUUUACUUCACCAAAAAUUGUUUUAACCUUAUUUUUUUUCUAUCAAAACUUGUAUUUUUUUUCAAAAAAUAUGGGGGUUCAAUGAGCCCCCUUGAACCCCCCCUAAAUCCGCCCAUGUUUGGAUGUCAUGUUGAUGUCAUAGUUGUCACUGGUUUUCAUGAAUAAAGAUAAGUUUCACUCAACAAAAAUUAGUUUAAAUUCUUACUUUGUUUAUUUUACUAGACAUCGAACGAAGUAUAGUUUUAAUUCAACUAUAUCUAAAUAGAAAAUUGAAGUACGAAGUAUAUUGAAAAGCAAUUGCAAUGAGAGAAAGCGAAACAAAUAUAAUUAAUUGAGGGGUGUGCGUGAGACCUUGGUUUUAUAGUAAGAGGAAGAGAAAAUAAUAAAAUACUAAUAAUGAGCUCGUGUCAUAAGAGAGAGUGUGGAUUAAAAUAAGAAUAAUAUGAAUGAAAUGAAGUAAGAAUUCAACUACGGAGUAAAUGGUGUAAGAGAGAAAAUCCGAAAAAAAAAGGAAUAUGAGAUGAAACUCUAGUAAAGAUAAUACUUUACAUCAAUAAAAAAGUAAUAUAAUUUAUUAUUUGGAGAAAAAUAUGUCAAUUAUAAAGUAUAAACUACAUAAUCAUUAAAACAUUAUGAUAGUCAUAUUUUAAAUGACGAUCACUAUACAAUUUUCAAUCACUUUAAUUUGUUUUUAUUCCAAAUUUAAUUAAUAAUCAAAUGCUAAAAUUACAAAUCUUCAAAGGGAGGUGGAUUUAGCUCAUAACAUACACUUAGUAUUAAAAUAAAAAAAACUAUAUUAAUAAUUCUUAAAUUGAACCCAUUCAAUUAAUUAUCAACUUAUCCAAUACCUCACGCCUCAAUAUAGUCUCAUUCGAUCGUUAAUACUCCAUGUGUUUUUAUUUAAGUGUUUCCACUUUGACUGAGCAUGUAUAUCAAUUUUCAAUUAUCAAUAAAAAUAAAUUACUCCGAAUAAAAAGUAAAUAUUCAAAAAUUAUACAUCAAGAUGACUCCAAUAUAUGCUCAAAUGAUUAAAUUUAUUCUUAAUUGUAUAAAUUUAGAUACAUUAGUCAAAGUUGAUAAUACGAAUAAUGCAAAAAGGUUAGUACGAGACAUUUAAAUAUAAAUGGACAAACAUUCAUACCCAGGGUGUAUUAGGGUCCAUGGAAAUCAUCUCGUCAAUUUUUAUUUCCGGGUCUAAAAAAGUGAAAAAUUGUCCAAAAUCGAAGGCUAUAAUAUACGAUUUCAAGUCAUUUUUUGACAUUUUUUCGAAAACUGAACUGAAUAUGUGGGGUGACUCCCGGGGUCAUAUAAGGUGGUUUGAAACCAUAACACACCUAUAAAGAUGUCAUAUGACUCCAAUAUAUGCAUACGUGGGGUGACUGUUUAAUUAAAACAAAGCAUUGCGAUGGUCCCUGCGGAUGUUAACGCAAUGUGAUUUCUGCCAGUGCUCUGAAUGUCAAAGUGAAGAAAUUCAACCAAGCGCGGGUAAACGGCGGGAGUAACUAUGAAUCUCUUAAGGUAGCCAAAUGCCUCGUCAUCUAAUUAGUGACGCGCAUGAAUGGAUUGACGAAAUUUCUACUGUCCCUGUCUACUAUCUAGCGAAACCACAGCCAAGGGAACGGGCUUGGCAGAAUCAGCGGGGAAAGAAGACCCCGUUGAGCUUGACUCUAGUCUGACUUUGUGAAAUGACUUGAGAGGUGUAGAAUAAGUGGGAGCUUCGGCGCAAGUGAAAUACCACUACUUUUAACGUUAUUUUACUUACUCCGUGAGUCGGAAGCGGGGCAAUGCCCUUCCUUUUAGACCUAAGGUCCGCUUUGCGGGCCGAUCCGAGUGGAGGACAUUGUCAGGUAGGGAGUUUGGCUGGGGUGGCACAUCUGUUAAAAGAUAAUGCAGGUGUCCUAAGAUGAGCUCAACGAGAAUUGAAUUCUCGUGUGGAACAGAAGGGUAAAAGCUCGUUUGAUUUUGAUUUUCAAUACGAAUACGAACCGUGAAAGCGUGGCCUAACGAUCCUUUAGACCUUUUGAAUUUAAAUCUAGAGGUGUUAGAAAAGUUACCACAGGGAUAACUGGCUUGUGGCAGCCAAGCGUUCAUAGCGAUGUUGCUUUUUGAUCCUUCGAUGUCGGCUCUUCCUAUCAUUGUGAAGCAGAAUUCACCAAGUGUUGGAUUGUUCACCCACCAAUAGGGAACGUGAGCUGGGUUUAGACCGUCAUGAGACAUGUUAGUUUUAUCCUACUGAUGAUAAUGUCGCAAUGGUAAUUCAUCCCGAUACGAGAGGAACCGUUGAUUCACACAAUUGGUCAUCGCGCUUGGUUAAAAAGCCAGUGGGUGAAGCUACCGUGUGCUAGAUUAUGACUGAACGCCUCUAAGUCAGAAUUUGGGUUAGAAGCGACGCAUGCACCCGCCGCCCGAUUGUUGUUCUACAGUAGGGGCUUCGGCCCCCAAGGGCACGUGUCGUAGGCUAAGCUCGCGCGAUGGAUGCGCCGUGAGAGCCGCCUUGAAGUACAUUUCCUACCAAGCGACGGGUUGAAU
rnacentral:rRNA from 1 species